GUCUACCGCCAUGCUAUCCUGCACAAGCCCAUCCCGUCUGAUUUCAGAAGCUAAGCAGGGUCGGGCCUGGUUAAUACGUGGAUGGGAGACCACCUAGGAAGACCAGGUGCCGCAGGCG
ensembl:rRNA 5S_rRNA 5S ribosomal RNA